rnacentral:lncRNA from 1 species
CUUUCAGUAGAUUUUUAACAACUCCAACUGCACAGAAACUGUCAAAUGGGAAAGAGGAGCCAUUCCAGACUGAGCCUUCACAAAAAUUUAUGAAUUGGAACAUAAUAUAUAACUAAGAGGUAGGCACUGAAAUCCAACCAGGAAAAAUUCUAAGAAGGAGAAAUCUUCUCCCAAGAAGAAACAGUGACCAUGAAAACCUAAAAUUAAAAAUAUCAGCAAGUAAUCACUGUUGCCAUUUCCCCCCAUGACUUUGAGCUGCUAAUUGUGUUAGGAGUUUCUAAGAAAUUCUCACUUGUAUCACUGAUAGUCCUAUCUCACCAGCAGCUCCAGAAACUCUGUAACCUGGCAUUCCUCCAAAGUCUAAAGGUUUUAUUCCUCUUGUUCUUUCCCUCCUUUCUCUACCUUAUGGUUAAUGAUGAGACAUGAUAUUCUCUUGCUAUUACUGCUGAAUGAGAGGGUUGGAGAGGAGGCCCAGAAUACUUUUUCUCCUUCCAUAAGUUGCUCAAAUCAUCCUUCAAUCCCAACUAACCAGGAGCGAAGCCUAAAGGUAUUUAGACUCUCAAAUACUGACCUAUCUGUCCAAUUUCUGUAAUUAUAAAUAUUUUUAGAGAGAGAGAGAGAGAAAUAGAAUUUUUUAAUUUUAAUUUUUUAGUUUUCUGUGGACACAACAUCUUUAUUUUAUUUGUAUGUGGUGCUGAGAAUCGAACCCAGUGCCCCGAGCAUGCCAGGCGAGCAUGCUACCGCUUGAGCCACAUCCCCAGCCCCAAUUAUAAAUAUUUUUAAAAGAUAUAUUUGAACUUUGAAUGCACAGGGUUAGGGUAGUUUCU